rnacentral:rRNA from 1 species
GACGAACGCUGGCGGCGUGCUUAACACAUGCGAGUCGAACGGUGAGGCUCCAGUUUGGUGGAGUGGUUGAGUGGCGAACGGGUGAGUAACACGUGAGUAACCUGCCCUUGACUCUGGAAUAAGCGCUGGAAACGGCGUCUAAUACUGGAUACGAGAAGGGUCCGCAUGGGGAGUUUUUGGAAGGUUUUUCGGUUGGGGAUGGGCUCGCGGCCUAUCAGCUUGUUGGUGAGGUAGUGGCUCACCAAGGCGACGACGGGUAGCCGGCCUGAGAGGGCGACCGGCCACACUGGGACUGAGACACGGCCCAGACUCCUACGGGAGGCAGCAGUGGGGAAUAUUGCACAAUGGGCGAAAGCCUGAUGCAGCGACGCCGCGUGCGGGAUGACGGCCUUCGGGUUGUAAACCUCUUUCGCCAGUGACGAAGCGAAAGUGACGGUACCGGCAGAAGAAGCACCGGCUAACUACGUG